UUCUUAGAGGAGAUACUCUCACAUUACACAUCAUUAGGGAUAACCUGCUUGGCCUCCUAGAGCCUUGGAUCUGGAUGUGGGCUCUACUCGUAACAGCAGGGAAAGUAGCCGACUUUACUAGAGUUCCAGCCAUGACUCCCAGCAAAGAGAAAUAAGUUUAGAUGUAUAUAGGUCACACCCUACAAACCAUGCAGGAACACAGUCAACAUGAUGGGUUGUGCAGUUGAUUUAUACAUGAUUGUAU
rnacentral:lncRNA from 1 species